rnacentral:rRNA from 1 species
GACAGAGGGUGCAAACGUUGUUCGGAAUUACUGGGCGUAAAGCGCGUGUAGGCUGCUUCGCAAGUCGGGUGUGAAAGCCCUGGGCUCAACCUAGGAAGUGCACUCGAAACUGCGAAGCUUGAGUCCUGGAGAGGAAGGCGGAAUUCCUAGUGUAGAGGUGAAAUUCGUAGAUAUUAGGAAGAACACCGGUGGCGAAGGCGGCCAUCUGGCUCGGUACUGACGCUCAGGUUCGAAAGCGUGGGGAGCAAACAGG